UACGUAGGGGGCGAGCGUUGUCCGGAUUUAUUGGGCGUAAAGAGCGUGUAGGCGGCCAGACAGGUCCGUUGUGAAAACUCGAGGCUCAACCUCGAGAUGUCGAUGGAAACCGUCUGGCUAGAGUCCGGAAGAGGAGUGUGGAAUUCCUGGUGUAGCGGUGAAAUGCGCAGAUAUCAGGAAGAACACCUGUGGCGAAGGCGGCUCUCUGGGACGGUACUGACGCUGAGACGCGAAAGCGUGGGGAGCGAACAGG
rnacentral:rRNA from 1 species